GACGAACGCUGGCGGCGUGCUUAACACAUGCAAGUCGAACGGUGAAGCGCCUUCCUUUUUGGUGGGUGUGGAUGAGUGGCGAACGGGUGAGUAACACGUGAGUAACCUGCCCCCUUCUUCUGGAUAACCGCAUGAAAGUGUGGCUAAUACGGGAUAUUCUGGGUCUGUCGCAUGAUGGGUCUGGGAAAGAUAUUGUUUCGGUGGGGGAUGGGCUCGCGGCCUAUCAGCUUGUUGGUGGGGUGAUGGCCUACCAAGGCGGUGACGGGUAGCCGGCCUGAGAGGGUGGACGGUCACACUGGGACUGAGACACGGCCCAGACUCCUACGGGAGGCAGCAGUGGGGAAUAUUGCACAAUGGGCGCAGGCCUGAUGCAGCGACGCCGCGUGAGGGAUGGAGGCCUUCGGGUUGUGAACCUCUUUCGCCAGUGAAGCAGGCCUGCCUCGUUUGUGGGUGGGUUGACGGUAGCUGGAUAAGAAGCGCCGGCUAACUACGUG
rnacentral:rRNA from 1 species